UGGUUUCUAGGCGGUGUUUUCAAAUAACUUUAAAAAAAAAAACAUGAAAAUGAAAAAACAUUGACUGUGUCCUCACCUUCCUUGCAGGUGUUACCCUGGUAACCAGGUUUACAGACACAGGUGCCAUGGCGACGGUGACAUUCCUGAGUGUGCUGCUGGUCACACUGACACUCCUCAGAGCAGCCGGGUCCGAAAGUCCACUUUGGACAUGCUGAAGGUUUUCCAUUGGAAUGUGACUCCCGCUCGCCCACAGGAUUGCUGAGACUCACGGAUGCAGGACUGUCGGUCCUCGUCCAGACGGAAACCCCGGCGGCAGAAACAUUGGAAGGAACCGGCGCUGUUCUGGCAUGUGUGAUCACAACCACCGUUCGCAGCCAGACACUCAUCCACAUCUAAACAACACGGACACAAAACAGACUCAAAUACUUUUGCUCCAUUAAGGGAAAUAGUCCACAAAAGCCAUUAAGCAAUUUAAUCUGAUCGGUGUUCACAGAAACAGAGACAGCAUUGUGUAACUCAAAAUGGAACUUAACUCAAUUCAACAGAAAUGAAUAUUCUGUCUCAUCCAUAUUUUGACUGGAGGGUUAAACAUACCAUCACAGCUACAUCCGUCUGAGUUGAGUCUGUAUCCUGCUGAGCAGUAGCAUUCAUAACCCCCGGGGUAGUUGGUGCAGUCCUGCUCACAACAGGAGCUCUGCUCUCCACACUCAUCAACAUCUGACAAACACAGCAAGCAGGAAGACAGAAAUUACGAUCCAACUGUAGUGAUGUGCUGCCCUGCUCACUGAGAGAACCGUUUUAUGGGGUAAUGUAAACUGUACCGGUUUAACAGCCAAUUAGGGUUAAAGUUACAGGAUUAGAUUAGAGCCCUAAAAUCACUCAAUUCCCCCUAAAGUGCUAAAACAUCCUUGGGUCCACAAGUAAACAUUUUUCAGCAGUUCAGAGAUCCCACAGAGUCUCAUUUCUCUUUUACUACCAACUGCACUUACUGAGCAAAUACAGCAUCAUAAGAAAGACUAUUGACAAUAAUGCCUAUUUUAUGCACAUCUAGAAAUACUAUACAUUUUUGACUGUCCUAAGAAAGUCUCUUAAUAUAUAAUAAUCUAGCAUCAAAUAUGAUUACUAAAUAAUGAGCCUUUAGAAACCCUCAUCAAAUAUGCAUUCAGUCACUAGUUACAGUGUUCAAACUCUUACAGUGUGAGCUGGUUGAGUUGUAACAUUUUAAAUGAUAAACUUUGUAAAUGACUUGCUGUUUGAUCACAAAUUAAACCUCAAAGAUUAAAAGACUGCUAUUCAUGGAAAUAAAACUCCAAUUUUAACUGGUACAGUAGAAUACACAUUUACUCCAGCUUAAGAACGACCUACAGCAAUAGUUUUACAAAAAAUAAAAUAAAAAGAGCAACAGACGACUAAGCAGCAGGAAAGGAUUUCAGCUGCUGUGAUUCAUUAAUGAAGAUUUAUUCAGUUUUGCAAUUUACUUUGUCUUCGAGGAUUUAUAAUCUCUUCAAAUAUGUUUGAAGUUUCUAAAAUAUGAUCCAAAAAUGGAUCCAAAAUAGAAAUUACUAUUACAGACGAACUCUAAUCUAAAUCACUAACACCCAUUACUACAUAAAACACUAAUGAUACAAAAACAAUUCAGUAAGUAGUUGAUGGAAAGUUUCAGUAAACGGGUGUUGCUUUAAUGCAUAUUAUGUACCGAUCAGCCACAACAUUAUGACCACCGAUAGGUGAAGUGAUUAAUAUUGAUCAUCUUUUAUAAUGUAACGCUCUGCUGGGAAACAUUGAGUCCUGACAUUCAUGUGGAUGUUUGACAUGUACAACCCACCAAAACACUGCAGGUCAAGCAACUCCCAUUGCAACAGCAGUCCUUGAUGCCAGUUGACACCUUCAGCAGGACAAUGCACCCCGACACACCACAAAAACUGCUCAGGAGUGACCCGGAGAACACAACAGAGCUCAGCUGUUCACUCAGGUUCCACACUAUUCAGAUCCAGAUCUUACUGAGCAUCUGUGGGAUGUACCAGGAUAAGCCUGAUCUAGGUAGAUCCCACCCUGCAACCCACAGGACCCACAGGAUUCACUGCCACCAUCCUGGUGCUACAGAACAUCCCCAGUGGUCCUGUGUUCAUGCCCCACUGGGUCAGAGGAGGUUUAGCAGCAUAAAGGAGGCCAACACAAUAUUAGGCACGUGGUCAUAAUGUUAUGCCUGAUCGGUGUAUAUGCUGUUUUAAGUGUGUCUUUAUGUCAGAGUGAGUGCAUCACAGUAUCUUACCAACGCAGGUUUUAAGGUCAUCAUCCAGCCUGUAACCAUGGUUACAGGAGCAAACAGGCCCGCUGGUUGAAUGUUGGCAGCGAUGCGAACAUCCGCCGUUGUUGUUCUCACAGCUGUUCACGAUCUCCAUCUCAAUUCCUUUUAAUUUACAGAGAAAUCAGAAUGAUCACAAUUAAAUGUGUCAUACUAACUGAUUGUAAAGGUUUCUACACAAGUGAUAACAAAGAGAUACAAAGAUUGAAACUGACUGUAACACUGUUUUCCAUCAGAUCCCAGUUCAUAGGCGGCGUUGCAAACACAGGCGUAAGAGCCCAGUGUGUUGUGGCAGCCAUGAGCACAGUUGGCCUCUUCUGUCUCACAUUCAUCAACAUCUGGAGGAAAAUACAUUCAAAAAUCUGGUCAGCACAGAUUCAUUUACAUUUACAGUAUGUUUCUUACAAACCAAAAACUAGAACUACUACUUAUAUGUUAAUGUUAAGUGAAAACACUGGCUUCCAAUUGAAGGAUCUUGUUUUCAUUUAAAAAAUUACACUAUCAUCAUAUAAUGGGUCUACGUCUAAAGUUUUUGUAUUUUUGAUUACAUUUUCUCCCAAGUUCCUUUUCAUUUUCGACCUUGGAUACAGUAGUUGACAGAACAAUUUGACAAAAGGGACCAUUUAUCUGUAAUUUUGAAGCUUCAAACUGCAUCACACAAUGAAACACGAUCUGUUCAAAUUUUCUUUUUUCUUUUGUUCUUAAUCUUCAUUUUGGAUAUAAAGUGAAUGCAUUCAGA